ensembl:lncRNA
CAUGUAUAUGUUUUUUGUUUGUUUGUUUGUUUGUUUUCCAUGGGACAAGCAGUGCAUUGACAAUUACUCUGCUCUCUCUUGCCAUGCCCCAGGUGACCAGUGGAGGAUAUAUUGAGAGCUGCGGAGCUGAUAAGGGAUUUAUCUCCAAGGUACAGGAAGCUUCUCUUGCCCUUUUGCUUCAACCAGUGUCCUGGUGGAGGAAUACUCUGAUGAUGAUAGAAAGAGUGAAGAACAAUGAAGAACCUGGUGAAAACAUCUGCUGGAGAGAACAAGGACAGGAGAAGAGAAUGGGAAAAUUCCUGAAGCAGAGUGCAACGUAAAUUAAGCGACAAGAAAUUGGAUGGAAACCCCUACAUACAUUUAAUCUCAGAAUUACUGUACAGCCCCUAAAGAGAAACAGAUUCAGUUUCUCUGAGACUGCUUCAUUUGGAAUCAACAAUAUAGAGGAAAAAGCUUGAGAG